AGCGGGUUCGCCAAGUGGUAAGGCAUCGGUAUCACACACCGAUACGCGAAGGUUCGAUUCCUUCACCCGCUACCA
rnacentral:tRNA from 1 species